GGCCCAGAUCUGAAGUAAAGUAUGUUAGUAGGAUUGUCUGACCCUACUGAAGUACUCUACUUCAAGUUUGUGCCC
rfam:Haemonchus placei strain MHpl1 genome assembly, scaffold: HPLM_scaffold0000785